AACGAACGCUGGCGGCAUGCCUAACACAUGCAAGUCGAACGAGACCUUCGGGUCUAGUGGCGCACGGGUGCGUAACGCGUGGGAAUCUACCCUUGGGUUCGGAAUAACAGUUAGAAAUGACUGCCAAUACCGGAUGAUGACGUAAGUCCAAAGAUUUAUCGCCCAAGGAUGUGCCCGCGUAAGAUUAGCUUGUUGGUGGGGUAAUGGCCUACCAAGGCGACGAUCUUUAGCUGGUCUGAGAGGAUGAUCAGCCACACUGGGACUGAGACACGGCCCAGACUCCUACGGGAGGCAGCAGUGGGGAAUAUUGGACAAUGGGCGAAAGCCUGAUCCAGCAAUGCCGCGUGAGUGAUGAAGGCCUUAGGGUUGUAAAGCUCUUUUACCAGGGAUGAUAAUGACAGUACCUGGAGAAUAAGCUCCGGCUAACUCCGGGCCAGCCGCCGCCGUAA
rnacentral:rRNA from 1 species